rnacentral:rRNA from 1 species
GUACCAUAACCGACACAGGUGGGUAGGUAGAGUAUACUAAGGGGCGCGAGAUAACUCUCUCUAAGGAACUCGGCAAAAUGACUCCGUAACUUCGGGAGAAGGAGUGCCUUAUUUACAAGGUUGCAAUAACAAGAUCCAAGCAACUGUUUAUCAAAAACACAGGUCUCCGCUAAGUCGUAAGACGAUGUAUGGGGGCUGACGCCUGCCCAGUGCCAGAAGGUUAAAGAAGUUGGUCAGUUUCGGCGAAGCUGAUAACUGAAGCCCUGGUGAACGGCGGCCGUAACAAUAACGGUCCUAAGGUAGCGAAAUUCCUUGUCGGGUAAGUUCCGACCCGCACGAAAGGCGUAAUGAUUUGGAUACUGUCUCGGAGAGGGGCUCGGUGAAAUAGACUUGUCUGUGAAGAUGCGGACUACCUGCACCUGGACAGAAAGACCCUAUGAAGCUUUACUGUAACUUGAGAUUGAAAUUGGACUUUAUUUGCGCAGUAUAGGUGGGAGACGUUGAGAAUAUUCUUGCGGGAGUAUUGGGGUCAUCAGUGAGAUACCACUCUUGUAAUGUUAGAUUUCUAACUUUGUAUCAUUAUCUGGUCAAAGGACAGUUUCAGGCGGGCAGUUUGACUGGGGCGGUCGCCUCCUAAAGGGUAACGGAGGCGCACAAAGGUUUCCUCUGAACGUGUAGAAAUCGUAUCUAGAGUGUAAAGGCAUAAGGAAGCUUGACUGUGAGACCUACAAGUCGAGCAGGGACGAAAGUCGGUCUUAGUGAUCUGACGGUGCUGAGUGGAAAGGCCGUCACUCAACGGAUAAAAAGUUACUCUAGGGAUAACAGGCUGAUCUCCCCCAAGAGUUCACAUCGACGGGGAGGUUUGGCACCUCGAUGUCGGCUCAUCGCAUCCUGGGGCGGUAGUACGUCCCAAGGGUUGGGCUGUUCGCCCAUGAAAGCGGUACGCGAGCUGGUUUCAGAACGUCGUGAAACAGUUCGGUCCAUAUCCGGUGUAGGCGUUAGAAUAUUGAGAGGAGCCUUCUUUAGUACGAGAGGACCGAGAAGGACAUACCUCUGGUCUACCAGUUAUCGUGCCAACGGUAAACGCUGGGUAGCUAUGUAUGGAGUGGAUAACCGCUGAAAGCAUCUAAGUGGGAAGCCCACCUCAAGAUAAGUAUUCUCAUCACGUAAGUGAGUAAGGUCACGGUAAGACUAACCGUUUGAUAGGCAUUAAGUGUAAAUCUAGUAAUAGAUGAGCUGAGAUGUCCUAACAGACCGAGGACUUG